AUUGAACGCUGGCGGCAGGCCUAACACAUGCAAGUCGAACGAGUGGCGGACGGGUGAGUAAUGUCUGGGUAACUGCCCGAUGGAGGGGGAUAUCUCCUGGAAACAGUCGCUAAUACCGCAUACCAUCGGAUGUGCCCAGAGGGGAUUAGCUUGUAGGGGGGGUAACGGCUCACCUAGGCAACGCUCCCUAGCUGGUCUGAGAGGAUGACCAGCCACACUGGAACUGAGACACGGUCCAGACGCCUACGGGAGGCAGCAGUGGGGAAUAUUGCACAAUGGGCGCAAGCCUGAUGCAGCCAUGCCGCGUGUAUGAAGAAGGCCUUCGGGUUGUAAAGUACUUUCAGCGGGGAGGCGUUACUCGCAGAAGAAGCACCGGCUAACUCCGUGCCAGCAGCCGCGGUAAUUC
rnacentral:rRNA from 1 species